GCGGCUAGCACGAGUAGCGGCGGCGAGCGGGUAGUCGGCGGCGGUGAAUGGCGAGGGCUGACCAGUGCAUCUCUCCCCGGAGCACCAGAUGGUGAUAGAGGACUGAGCCAGCGACCAAGAAGAAGCUCAGCAGCAGCCUUCUUCAUAUUUGGUGGACUAACCAAAGAAUCAAAGAUACUUUGCAACAGAACCUCGCGACAGGCAAGGGGUACGCGAAGUCUCACUUCUUGUCGAUAGUGAGGAAGCAAAGAGGCGGAUGCGGGACGGAGAGAAUGGAGAGUCCUGCGACGGUUAUGGAGAAGACGUUGAAGCCUUGAAUUGGUUCACACGGAUACCGCACAUGUUCUGUAAGAAGCUCAUGGAUUCAGACACUACCACGCACGGUGGCAUUCUCCGUGCUGUGCCGCAGAGGACUGCAUCCAGCUGCUGCAACAUUGAGUAAAUAGAGAAGAGAGCAGUAGAUUGAUGGUUAUCUGCAUUUGGUUUCAUUCAUGAGGUUUUUUAGGUGUUUGCAAUGCCGCCGGUGCUCAUGCUAGCUACGAACAAACUUUACUAGAAGAUAUCUCAUUAAUCACUUCAAAAUUGCUAGGAUGCAUGGAACCAAUAGAUAUAAAUAGUUUUUAGCAUGCGGAAAGGGGCCUGCAGAUUUGAGGCCGAGGGCCAUGGCCGGCGCGGUGGUGCCUUGUCAUUCUCAUGUAAACGCGGAGGUUGCUCGUCAUUCUCUUGUGGAGCGCGACGCAUGAGGAAGCAUCUAGCAUGGAUGGAGGAGGGCACGGGAGAGGAGUAGGUUGAAGGAUUUUGACAGAGAAUGGUGAGCAGGAACCAGCCAUCCUCAACUGCCAAUCAGCAACCUGGGAGUUAUUCAGCAAGCAGAGACAAGAAUGCUGAAAGAAUUACUUCAGAAAGAAAUAUAGCAGCAAACCAAGGUGAUUCUGGCACACCUGUAGUGCCAUCUGGAGUUGUCGGUGAUAAGAGAGUAUCACUAGGCGUAGGAGCUUGGGGUCCUGGUCUUCAUGCUCAAUUGGAACAAGGGUAUCGCCAAGCUCGAGAAGUAGUCAGAUCCAAUAAUGGUAUAUAGAUUCUUUCACAGCUUCUUAGUGCUCGGAUGGUUACACGUCCUGCGGCUAUUGAUGCUAUUCAGUCCCUUGCUUUUUGUGUACUGCUUGGCUUGGCUAGAGAUGAUGCAAUUGCUCAUAUACUGACAAAGCUUCAUGUAUGGUGGACUGCAGAACAAUUCAUUUAUUUUCAUGUGUUUUCUCUUACUUUUGCAUGACUAUAAUUUCAGCAACGGGUAGCUGCUACCAACCAUUCCCUUUGUUUCACAUAUAGGGUAUGUUCCUUUUUCUUCAUGCUUUGUUUUGAAAUAGCCGUAGUCAAUGAGGUGUGUAACCUUACUAAGGUCGAACGGGCUACCUAGCUACUCAAACCUAAUUGUGGGAAAUUGGUUAGACAUCAUCUCAUUUUUCUCCCUUCUCAUUUUCUCUGUUACUUGGUCUAUGCAAAAUGCUGUGAGAUGAAUUGGACGGAGGGGUAACCAAUCCUUUUCUUUGUUGUGAAUAAUAGAGUUGGUAAACUACCUCUCUCAUCUCUCUGAUACCCUUCUUUCACCCUCUCUUUACAUAUCUGUCCUGUAGGUUACUUUGUUUGUUGCGUGUUGCCUCCUAGGUAAGUAACUAACUAACUCUUAACCUAUUAUUCCAGAUAUGGAAGAAAUUAUCAGAACUGAUUUGUGACACCAGUACCCAGACAUCUGGAAGUGAUAAUGCAAGAUGGAUAAAUGAACUGACCCAAGUGGCAUUGAACUUAUUGUGGCUUACAAACUUUUUGGAGAAAUAUGUUGGUGCAUAUUGGUCGACCGACUUCAGAAUGUGUUGAACGAACUGAAAGAUUGUAUUUUCCGUCGACUUGAUGCACUUAAGCUAAAUAAUGUGAAGCAAAGCUAUGGAAAAGGCGGUGUAUCUUACAUGAAGUGCCUGCAACGACUGUAGAUAAGGCACAAUAGAGACUUCACCCUUGAUACUUCAACGUUCAUGAACAUGGAGUAUUGGGAACAAAGGGAGUCACUCCAAAAUAUGUGAAUUAGCAAUGAAAAAUAUCAAAAUCAUGACUCUCUUCAGCCUAAGUGUCACGUUGAAGGAAGAACCAAGACUCAGGUUUUCAGUUAAAUGUACUUCGAAAAUGUAUGUAUCUCCCGUUACUGGGGUGUUGCUGAAUUUGAGCAAGCACCCUCAUGUAAAUAUAGGUACACGACCCUAGCAUAUUGUAUUUUCCGAAUUUGUCAGGAGGCACAAAAAUUUUUGUAUCAUGUCUUGAAGUUAUCAAUAUUUAUAGUAUGUGGUCUGUGGUAUAUGUA